UACGGGGGGGGCAAGCGUUGUUCGGAAUUACUGGGCGUAAAGGGUUCGUAGGUGGCUUGCUAAGUCAGACGUGAAAUCCCCCGGCUUAACCUGGGAACUGCGUCUGAUACUGGACGGCUUGAGUAUGGGAGAGGGAUGUAGAAUUCCAGGUGUAGCGGUGAAAUGCGUAGAUAUCUGGAGGAAUACCGGUGGCGAAGGCGGCAUCCUGGACCAUUACUGACGCUGAGGCGCGAAAGCUAGGGGAGCAAACGGG
rnacentral:rRNA from 1 species